GGACUACAAGGGUAUCUAAUCCUGUUUGCUCCCCACGCUCUCGCGCCUCAGCGUCAGUAUCUGUCCAGGUAGCCGCCUUCGCCACUGGUGUUCCUUCCGAUCUCUACGCAUUUCACCGCUACACCGGAAAUUCCACUACCCUCUACAGUACUCCAGUCACUCAGUCUUAGUUGCCAUUCCCAGGUUAAGCCCAGGUAUUUCACAACUAACUUACGCAACCACCUACGCGCCCUUUACGCCCAGUAACUCCGAUUAACGCUCGCACCCUCUGUAUUACCGCGGCGGCUGGCAC
rnacentral:rRNA from 1 species